rnacentral:rRNA from 1 species
GUUGAUCCGGUCCGGCGAACGCGGCGUGCUACACAAAGGCCGCGGGCUGUCCUAGGCGGCGGGGGUACGGUACCGCCUAGGAUAAUCCGGAAACCGGGUUACCGGAGUUAACGUAAUUAAGGUUUAGCUACCACUUACAGAUGGACCCGCGGCGCAUUAGCUAGUUGGUGAGGUAACGGCUCACCAAGGCAACGAUGCGUAGCCGACCUGAGAGGGUGAUCGGCCACACUGGGACUGAGACACGGCCCAGAUCUACGGGAGGCAGCAGUAGGGAAUCUUCCGCAAUGGACGAAAGUCUGACGGAGCAACGCCGCGUGAGUGAUGAAGGUUUUCGGAUCGUAAAACUCUGUUGUUAGGGAAGAACAAGUACCGUUCRAAUAGGGCGGURCCUUGACGGUACCUAACCAGAAAGCCACGGCUAACUACGUGCCAGCAGGCGGUAAUACGUAGGUGCAAGCGUUGUCCGGAAUUAUUGGGCGUAAAGCGCGCGCAGGCGGUUUCUUAAGUCUGAUGUGAAAGCCCCCGGCUCAACCGGGGAGGGUCAUUGAAACUGGGGAACUUGAGUGCAGAAGAGGAGAGUGGAAUCACGUGUACGUAAAUGCGUAGAGAUGUGGAGGAACACCAGGCGAAGGCGACGUCUGUAACACGCGAA